rnacentral:lncRNA from 1 species
CUCCACUCCCUGCCAGCCGUCCUCCAGCUUCUCCUGAGCACUUCCAUUGAAUCCCAAUCAUCUUCUAUGAAAUCAGGGAGCACAUUUCAACUGCAGCAUCUUCCACCUUUAGUCUCAGCCUAAAAGGACCUGGUUUAAGAUCUGCACCAUAUGCUGGCACCAACAGCAGCAGAAAACGUGCUCAUUCUUCUGACCCAAGCAAGAGGGGCCCAAUCUCCUGGAGAAAGUUUUCAAGCUUCAAAGAAGACAGGCGCUUGCAAGGGACAACACUAGAAACACCCCCAGCUGCCUGUCAGAGUGGCCUGGGAGCCCUUUGGUGUCUCCCAGCAGGAGCUCCGGAGAGCAGGGCAUCCUCAGCAGGAGCCUCUUUCUUCCAGUUACUGUAAGCCACUUUUAGAAGUGUCCUAUCCACUCCUAAUGUUCAGUUGUGGGGUUCUGACAGCUGAUGGGAGCCCACACAUCUGAGCGCAGAUGGCUUGUAAAGAAGGCUUUGCUGAGUUCUGAUUGGUUGAUUUCCGUUGUGACCCAGUUGAUCCCAACAUCUCUGCACCGCCCGUUCACAGAUUGCAGGUGCAGUUAAAGCCGACCCCAGCCUCACGAAGCAGAAGUCAAAUGUCCUAAUUCCUUUGUUGGGUCUGCUUCCUUGGCAAUGGGUUUUUUAGGGGGAAGAUCAAAUCUUUCAAAACAUGACGUCCAUGCAGACAGAAACAGUAAAAGAAGUUCGUGGUGGUGAAAAGUUUGCAAACUACUGGCCUCAUCCAGCGCUCUCACUUUACAACCCAGAAAAGGAGGCUGAGGUGGAGAGACUUGCCUGGUCACGUGGCAAGCCAGUGGCAGAGAGAGGCAGGAGCACGCUGUACCCAGAGGGAAGGAGACUAAAGCAGAUCCCCAAGAGAAGGAAAAGCUGGAGACCAGCGACACCCACUGCUCAGACUGUGAUGAGAAGCGCAACUGUUCCAGGCAAAGGAUCUCAGGACAGGAGCUCGGGGGACAGUGGGGAUGACUGACAAGAGGUGGCUGAAGGAAAGUACACUGGACAAGAAUGAAAGAUAAAGAUGGCUUCUGUAUCCUGGAGGCAAGGCUUCCCUUAUCAAAGGGGAAUUGAGAAUGUAAGAGACUUCUCCAUUGGUUUGUGAUGGCAAAUCAUUGACUCUGUGAGGCAGGGUGAGUAAGCAUGCGGUUUGGUAGAAACUCAGGAAAGACGAAGGGAAAUAAAGGCAAAGCUGCAGAAUGACCACCAAUUGUGUAGGGGACACACUUUCCUCUUGAGAUUUCCCAUAGUACCUAACACCUGCCUCCAUUACUCGCUUAGUAAUAACAAACACUUAUACAUAGUGUUUACUCUAUUCCAGG